UAACACGUGAGCAACCUGCCUUUCAGAGGGGGAGUAACAGUUGGAAACGACUGCUAAUACCGCAUAACGCUGCGAUGGGGCAUCCCGAUGCAGCCAAAGAGCAAUCCGCUGGAAGAUGGGCUCGCGGCCGAUUAGCUAGUUGGUGGGGCAACGGCCCACCAAGGCGACGAUCGGUAGCCGGACUGAGAGGUUGAUCGGCCACAUUGGGACUGAGACACGGCCCAGACUCCUACGGAAGGCAGCAG
rnacentral:rRNA from 1 species